AGAGUUUGAUCCUGGCUCAGGAUGAACGCUAGCGGCAGGCCUAACACAUGCAAGUCGAGGGGUAACAGGAGAGCUUGCUCUCGCUGACGACCGGCGCACGGGUGAGUAACGCGUAUGCAACCUACCUUUAACAGGGGGAUAGCCCGAAGAAAUUCGGAUUAAUACCCCAUACAACUAUAGAUAAGCAUUUAUUUAUAUUUAAAACUCCGGUGGUUAAAGAUGGGCAUGCGUGACAUUAGAUAGUUGGUGAGGUAACGGCUCACCAAGUCUACGAUGUCUAGGGGGUCUGAGAGGAUGGUCCCCCACACUGGUACUGAGACACGGACCAGACUCCUACGGGAGGCAGCAGUGAGGAAUAUUGCGCAAUGGAGGAAACUCUGACGCAGCCAUGCCGCGUGCAGGAUGACAGCCCUACGGGUUGUAAACUGCUUUUAUACAGGAAGAAUUUUCCGCACGUGUGCGGGAUUGACGGUACUGUACGAAUAAGCAUCGGCUAACUCCGUGCCAGCAGCCGCGGUAAUACGGAGGAUGCAAGCGUUAUCCGGAUUUAUUGGGUUUAAAGGGUGCGUAGGCGGGGUAAUAAGUCAGUGGUGAAAUCCUGCAGCUUAACUGUAGAAUUGCCAUUGAUACUGUUAUUCUUGAGUUCGAUUGAGGUAGGCGGAAUGCGUAAUGUAGCGGUGAAAUGCUUAGAUAUUACACAGAACACCGAUUGCGUAGGCAGCUUACUAAGUCGACACUGACGCUGAGGCACGAAAGCGUGGGGAGCGAACAGGAUUAGAUACCCUGGUAGUCCACGCUGUAAACUAUGAUCACUAGCUGUUGGCGAUACAUCGAUCAGCGGCAAAGCGAAAGCAUUAAGUGAUCCACCUGGGGAGUACGGUCGCAAGAUUGAAACUCAAAGGAAUUGACGGGGGCCCGCACGAGCGUGGAACAUGUGGUUUAAUUCGAUGAUACGCGAGGAACCUUACCUGGGCUUAAAUGCAGAUUGACGUUUCGGGAAACCGAAAUUCUCUUCGGAGCGAUUUGCAAGGUGCUGCAUGGUUGUCGUCAGCUCGUGCCGUGAGGUGUCGGGUUAAGUCCCAUAACGAGCGCAACCCCUAUCGUUAGUUGCCAGCGGAUCAUGCCGGGGACUCUAACGAAACUGCCGGUGUAAACCGAGAGGAAGGUGGGGAUGACGUCAAAUCAGCACGGCCCUUAUGUCCAGGGCUACACACGUGUUACAAUGGUCGGUACAGAGGGCAGCUACCUGGUGACAGGAUGCUAAUCUCGAAAGCCGGUCUUAGUUCGGAUCGAAGUCUGCAACUCGACUUCGUGAAGCUGGAAUCGCUAGUAAUCGCGUAUCAGCAACGACGCGGUGAAUACGUUCCCGGGCCUUGUACACACCGCCCGUCAAGCCAUGGAAGCUGGGGGUACCUGAAGUCUGUAACCGCAAGGAGCGGCCUAGGGUAAAACUAGUGACUGGGGCUAAGUCGUAACAAGGUA
rnacentral:rRNA from 1 species